rnacentral:tRNA from 1 species
GGGGAAUUAGCUCAGUUGGCUAGAGCGCCACGCUGGCAGCGUGGAGGUCAUGGGUUCGAGCCCCAUAUUCUCCA